CCAAAUUGUUCUAUAUUUUUGGAUCUCCCAGCAGAUGCUGGCUUAUUUUUAAGAUUAAGAUCUAUAGAGACCUUUGUUCACACAUCGUUUGCACCUGGCCAGGGCUCUCAUGAGCAAGUUUGAACUCCACUUUUCUUUUUAAAGGCAACUU